rnacentral:rRNA from 1 species
UACGUAGGGUGCAAGCGUUGUCCGGAAUUAUUGGGCGUAAAGAGCUCGUAGGCGGUCUGUCGCGUCUGCUGUGAAAACUCAGGGCUUAACCCUGAGCUUGCAGUGGGUACGGGCAGACUAGAGUGCGGUAGGGGAGACUGGAAUUCUUGGUGUAGCGGUGAAAUGCGUAGAUAUCAAGAGGAACACCUGCGGCGAAGGCGGGUUGCUGGGCCGACACUGACGCUGAGGCGCGAAAGCUAGGGGAGCGAACGGG